CGUUGGCAACUCCACUUAAAAUGUACUGUAUAAAUAACCGCGCUGGAAGCGGCUAACCACCAGUCUCAAUUUGAACAACCUCGUAAAAUGGCGUCCCAAAGAAAGAUAUCCUUCGCCUUCUUGCUGGCUGCCACUACUUUACUCCUCUCCGCAACAGCUGAUCCUCUUCUGUUGCCUCCAUUACCUGCGUUACCUCAGUUACCAAUCACUGUCGUAGUCCCACCAAAUAACCCAGGUGCGCUGAUCCCCCUGGUGCCUUGCAAUCCCAUAUCUAACGCCAUCUGUUGCGCCUACAACCCGGGAUCCACCAACUACGUGAAGUGUUCCAGCGCCCUCCUGUGUACCCCUGCGUGUUAAGGUUUGCCAUCCUGUUUCUAGAAGUUGGUCAUCCUGUUUCUAGGGGUCGGCAAUUCCGUUAGCCGCUCGUGUGUAGGGAUUAUCAACCGUUAUAUAUUAGGGCCUGCCAGUCCCGUCCGUUGAAGGCUGGUAACCCUACUAUACGUGUCAAGGUCGCAGUCCUACUUGUGGCUGGUUGAAGAUACUCGUCAACUCUCCAGUUAUCUAUGUAUAGAUUAGACACACCUAGUCAAUGCUGGGAGUGAGCUCAACACUUUUGUAAUCAAAUGUCAAUGGUGUUGAUUUCACGAUGAUCGACCCAUUAUUAUAAUUUCAUGAUUUGGGUUAACGUAAGUUUGAUGGAAUGACUAAAUAGUCCUUUUCUGGUGAAUUAAUAUACACAGAGGUGCUCUAAACACUUUUGUAAUUGAGCGUCAAUGGCGUUGAUCGCACGAUAGUCGACCCAUUAUUAUAUUCUUAUGAUUUGGGUUAAUAUGCUACGUAAUUUUGAUGGAAUGACUUAAUGGUAAUUUUCUGGCAAAUUAAUAUACACAGAGAAAUUAGGAGAACAAAAUCUUCUAUAGAUCAGAUAUCCAGAGACCUCUAGAGACCACUAUGUACAAGACGCCCUGUGAUAACUUCUCUCGAACAGCGUCUCCAAAGAGAUAGUUUUCGAGAUGAACUUGAUUUUUUUGCAGCUAAUUUGUAAAUCGUUCAUUGAUCUGUUGUCCUGCUUCCAGUUUGUCAUCAGUUUUAAACGGCUCCUUUCCAACACUGCACGAGAAAAAUUCGUCUCAUAGAGUGUCUUCCAUCUUAAGUAGUUGACGUAUAAUCAUGAUUUUUUUAUUUCAUUGUCUGCCUUUGUUGAACACGUUUGUAAAAAAAAAAUAGCAAAAUAAGGCAACUGUACCUAACUUUCCACUAGCGCCAGUGUUUCCAUGUUGAAUAAUCAAAAUAUUAUUUUUACCACAAAUGUUAUUCUUAAGUUACCGUUGUUUCAGCUCGAUGUUAAGUUUAUUUUAAGACAUCUCAGUUUUUUGUUUUGUUAACCUACCGUUAUUGUGGAUUGUGCUGUUUGUUGAUUAACAAUAAAAAUGAUGAAAC